AAUUCUUUAAGGAGCACACAGGAUUCACAGUGCCCUGCUGGAGAUACAGUCACAAGUUUUCUACGGUCACAGGUUUUCUGCAAGAACUGACUUCUACAAGAAACUGAGAAAGAACUGAAGCAGGGGAAGGAGUCGAAGCUCCAGGCAUAGGGAAAAUGACAAGAGGGGUCUUUGUAAAAGUGACGUGAAGAGAUUUUCAUGUUGGAAAGAUGACUAACUGCAUCGUAGAAUUAAUGUGAAAGGGUGGCCCAAGGAAGCAAGUUUCUUCACAGCUAUUGCAAUAAACAGGGUCUACUGGAGACCUUGGCUUUUUAUUUCCCUGACACAACUUCACACUGCUGGAGCAAUGCUUGGAUUGCUCUGGAAACACUGGCAAAUCUCAAGAUGCAGUUCAGGCUUCUCCAUGAUGAGUGUGAGUCCCUAGGCUGUCUCUCAAACUAAAGAUUCCCCAGCCAGGCAACUCUAAAGAGUCUUCGACAAGGCAACACAAUUACUCUGUGUGCUUAGAAGAAGAGGGGUCAUAAAUGUCAGCUGUUGCUCUUUGAGUCCUGCUAAUUCAUUCAUUGAUUCACUCAUCUUUCCCACAGGCAUGUGCUGUGCGUUUACUGUACUGCAUGACACUGUGGAGGUUAUAAAGAAAUAAAAUAUUUGGGGCUUAC
rnacentral:lncRNA from 1 species